CGGCUCCCGGUGCUGGUCCCAUCCACGUGGUCCUGCCCUGCCCUCCGGGAGUGACAGCAACGGGAGUGGAUUGGGGGCUCCUGUCCGAGGGGAUGCAUGAGACCAUGGCUGCCAGUGUAGCA